AUAUUGUUGCUUUCUGCUCUCGUGGACUCCACGAAUUUUCUCUUUGUGCUCCUUCUUCCCUGAAGCGAUUCGACUUGCCGAGCGUCUGACUUUGAGGAACCCUGUGAGGCCACAUCUUCAUGGCGCGAUCGAUGGUGAUAGAGAUAACCAUGGCGCUCAGAAUCCCCAGAAGAAAUGUUACCACUGCAACUCAAACCAUCAACGUUCCAGCAGCUAGAAAAGAUGGUCGAGAUGCCAUCCUGAGCAUCGAGGACGUUGCUGAUGACUCGUUCUUCUUCAGAUGCUCCAAAGUUCUCGGUGACUGGAUGGGAAACAUCGGUUCUAUCAGUGAGUGAAGAAGAAGCAUAUGCUUGACAACAAGAAGCAUCCCCGGAAGUGGUGUCCAGUACUGAUCUCAUGAGACCAGAAUCAGCAGCCGACAUUAAUAUCGCUUCCUGAUACUGCAACAAAUCCAGAUCCAAACUGUUGUUCAUCGAACCCAAAGCGGGAGUUGAGAUUCCCACUGUCUCACUGUGUCCACCAAGAUGCGAACUUGCUUGGCAUGCGUCCAGAAUCCCCUGGAGCUCUAAGCUUGAGCUGAGGAGAGCUUCGUCGAGUGCAAACUUAUCGUUGAAGGCGGUGUAGCCUUCGCUGGAGCCUGUGAAAUCACCAUAGUGGUUGCUGCAUCUACUUGGCGACAGGAAAACCUCGCUUCUGAUGGCCGCUGGAUUCUCCCAACCAAAGCUAUCCAUGGAAAAUAAACAAACAUGACGUAGAACAACGAUAUAUAUCCAGAUUUAUCUACGACAUAUAAUCUAUACCUUCCGCUGAUCCAGCUAUUUAGAAGCCCAGAAUCUGACCGAUGCAGGACCCUUGAUUUCGUACCCAAAGAGUGUAGCCAAAAACUAAACGUAGUAAUCCUGCCUAUCUUCGGUCGUCAGUCAUCACUCGUGAAGACAUUUAGUGCAUGGAGGAGAUCAACUACGACAACCUCUGCCGACUGUAUACCAGGAGGCAAGGCAUUACAUCCCGGAAUCUCCGAGUAAUGCAGGAUCGCAUCUACAAGGAGUACAGAAGAAGUGGAAGGGCAGAGAGGUAAAGACGACGAUGUAUAUAGAUGUGUUUUCUCUAUGUCUGGGUAGGCAUGAAGAAUGUAUAUGCUGCUGUGAUAUAUGCCCAGCUCCUGUAAAGUAACCUUAAAUAGAGUAGGGCAGAGAUGGUCCUCGGUUGGAGUUU